CACGUAGGGGGCGAGCGUUGUCCGGAUUUAUUGGGCGUAAAGAGCUCGUAGGCGGUUCAGUAAGUCGGGUGUGAAAUCCCCGGGCUCAACCUGGGAACUGCGUUUGAAACUACAAGACUAGAGUGUAGCAGAGGGGGGUGGAAUUCCACGUGUAGCAGUGAAAUGCGUAGAGAUGUGGAGGAACACCGAUGGCGAAGGCAGCCCCCUGGGUUAACACUGACGCUCAGGCACGAAAGCAUGGGGAGCAAACAGG
rnacentral:rRNA from 1 species